CCGUGAAAGCGUGGCCUAUCGAU
rnacentral:snRNA from 1 species